UUUCCGUAGGUGAACCUGCGGAAGGAUCAUUACCGUAUAACCUAGGUGAGAGGGCUUUCUCUGACCCGAAAGCUCGUGCACGCCCGAGUGGCCUCCCACAGAUUGCUCUCCCGCCUAUGUACACCCCCGCGUCGAUCCCCACUUUGCAUGUUCGGGUUCUGACCUAAGUGUUCACACUAACAACAAACGCUCUGUAGACUGUAUCUUUUGUUUUUGCGGUCACACAAUCGAAACACCUUUCAACAACGGACAUCUUGGCUCCCGCAUCGCUUAAGCACC
rnacentral:misc_RNA from 1 species